GGGUUGUGAGGUUAAGCGACUAAGCGUACACGGUGGAUGCCCUGGCAGUCAGAGGCGAUGAAGGGCGUGCUAAUCUGCGAUAAGCGCCGGUAAGGUGAUAUGAACCGUUAUAACCGGCGAUACCCGAAUGGGGAAACCCAGUGUGAUUCGUCACACUAUCAUUAACUGAAUCCAUAGGUUAAUGAGGCGAACCGGGGGAACUGAAACAUCUAAGUACCCCGAGGAAAAGAAAUCAACCGAGAUUCCCCCAGUAGCGGCGAGCGAACGGGGAGGAGCCCAGAGCCUGAAUCAGCAUGUGUGUUAGUGGAAGCGUCUGGAAAGGCGCGCGAUACAGGGUGACAGCCCCGUACACAAAAGCGCAUGUGCUGUGAGCUCGAUGAGUAGGGCGGGACACGUGGUAUCCUGUCUGAAUAUGGGGGGACCAUCCUCCAAGGCUAAAUACUCCUGACUGACCGAUAGUGAACCAGUACCGUGAGGGAAAGGCGAAAAGAACCCCGGCGAGGGGAGUGAAAAAGAACCUGAAACCGUGUACGUACAAGCAGUGGGAGCNNNNNNNNNNNNNNNNNNNNNNNNNNNNNNNNNNGGGCGUUAAGUUGCAGGGUAUAGACCCGAAACCCGGUGAUCUAGCCAUGGGCAGGUUGAAGGUUGGGUAACACUAACUGGAGGACCGAACCGACUAAUGUUGAAAAAUUAGCGGAUGACCUGUGGCUGGGGGUGAAAGGCCAAUCAAACCGGGAGAUAGCUGGUUCUCCCCGAAAGCUAUUUAGGUAGCGCCUCGUGAAUUCAUCUCCGGGGGUAGAGCACUGUUUCGGCUAGGGGGCCAUCCCGGCUUACCAACCCGAUGCAAACUGCGAAUACCGGAGAAUGUUAUCACGGGAGACACACGGCGGGUGCUAACGUCCGUCGUGAAGAGGGAAACAACCCAGACCGCCAGCUAAGGUCCCAAAGUCAUGGUUAAGUGGGAAACGAUGUGGGAAGGCCCAGACAGCCAGGAUGUUGGCUUAGAAGCAGCCAUCAUUUAAAGAAAGCGUAAUAGCUCACUGGUCGAGUCGGCCUGCGCGGAAGAUGUAACGGGGCUAAACCAUGCACCGAAGCUGCGGCAGCGACACUGUGUGUUGUUGGGUAGGGGAGCGUUCUGUAAGCCUGCGAAGGUGGCCUGUGAGGGUUGCUGGAGGUAUCAGAAGUGCGAAUGCUGACAUAAGUAACGAUAAAGCGGGUGAAAAGCCCGCUCGCCGGAAGACCAAGGGUUCCUGUCCAACGUUAAUCGGGGCAGGGUGAGUCGACCCCUAAGGCGAGGCCGAAAGGCGUAGUCGAUGGGAAACGGGUUAAUAUUCCCGUACUUGGUGUUACUGCGAAGGGGGGACGGAGAAGGCUAUGUUGGCCGGGCGACGGUUGUCCCGGUUUAAGCGUGUAGGUGUGUGUUCCAGGUAAAUCCGGUUCACUUUAACACUGAGGCGUGACGACGAGGCACUACGGUGCUGAAGCAACAAAUGCCCUGCUUCCAGGAAAAGCCUCUAAGCAUCAGGUAACAUCAAAUCGUACCCCAAACCGACACAGGUGGUCAGGUAGAGAAUACCAAGGCGCUUGAGAGAACUCGGGUGAAGGAACUAGGCAAAAUGGUGCCGUAACUUCGGGAGAAGGCACGCUGACACGUAGGUGAAGUGAUUUACUCAUGGAGCUGAAGUCAGUCGAAGAUACCAGCUGGCUGCAACUGUUUAUUAAAAACACAGCACUGUGCAAACACGAAAGUGGACGUAUACGGUGUGACGCCUGCCCGGUGCCGGAAGGUUAAUUGAUGGGGUCAGCGCAAGCGAAGCUCCUGAUCGAAGCCCCGGUAAACGGCGGCCGUAACUAUAACGGUCCUAAGGUAGCGAAAUUCCUUGUCGGGUAAGUUCCGACCUGCACGAAUGGCGUAAUGAUGGCCAGGCUGUCUCCACCCGAGACUCAGUGAAAUUGAACUCGCUGUGAAGAUGCAGUGUACCCGCGGCAAGACGGAAAGACCCCGUGAACCUUUACUAUAGCUUGACACUGAACAUUGAGCCUUGAUGUGUAGGAUAGGUGGGAGGCUUUGAAGUGUGGACGCCAGUCUGCAUGGAGCCGACCUUGAAAUACCACCCUUUAAUGUUUGAUGUUCUAACGUGGACCCGUUACCCGGGUUGCGGACAGUGUCUGGUGGGUAGUUUGACUGGGGCGGUCUCCUCCUAAAGAGUAACGGAGGAGCACGAAGGUUGGCUAAUCCUGGUCGGACAUCAGGAGGUUAGUGCAAUGGCAUAAGCCAGCUUGACUGCGAGCGUGACGGCGCGAGCAGGUGCGAAAGCAGGUCAUAGUGAUCCGGUGGUUCUGAAUGGAAGGGCCAUCGCUCAACGGAUAAAAGGUACUCCGGGGAUAACAGGCUGAUACCGCCCAAGAGUUCAUAUCGACGGCGGUGUUUGGCACCUCGAUGUCGGCUCAUCACAUCCUGGGGCUGAAGUAGGUCCCAAGGGUAUGGCUGUUCGCCAUUUAAAGUGGUACGCGAGCUGGGUUUAGAACGUCGUGAGACAGUUCGGUCCCUAUCUGCCGUGGGCGCUGGAGAACUGAGGGGGGCUGCUCCUAGUACGAGAGGACCGGAGUGGACGCAUCACUGGUGUUCGGGUUGUCAUGCCAAUGGCACUGCCCGGUAGCUAAAUGCGGAAGAGAUAAGUGCUGAAAGCAUCUAAGCACGAAACUUGCCCCGAGAUGAGUUCUCCCUGAGACUUAGAGUCUCCUGAAGGAACGUUGAAGACGACGACGUUGAUAGGCCGGGUGUGUAAGCGCAGCGAUGCGUUGAGCUAACCGGUACUAAUGAACCGUGAGGCUUAACCUUACAACGCCGAAG
rnacentral:rRNA from 1 species